rnacentral:lncRNA from 1 species
CAGCUGUUGUCACAGAUGCUUAAUCACUCACCCCUCUUUUGGAUUUCUUCCCUUUUAUUAUGGAAAAUUUUCAAACAUAAAGGUAAAGAAUAUAAUAGAAAUAACUCCCAUGUGCCCCUCACUCAGCUUCUACAAUUAUUCACAUAUGACCAAUCCCCUUUUAUCUGUACCUAUCCCCAGUUCCCGUUCCUGCACAGAUGAUUUCAAAGCAAAUGCAAACAUCAUGGAAUUUCAUCUGUAAAUACUCGGGUGUCACAGUGUGUGCGCCCUCUCGCACAUGUGUAAAACCCACACUACAGCUAUCACGGCUAACAAAAUUAACAAUUAGUUCCUGAAUAGCAAAUUUCCCCGAUUGUCUGUCUGUCUGUCUUUCUGUCUGUCUUUCUCUCUCUUUUGCAAUUGUUUUGUUAGAGUCAGGAUCCAGACAAAGCUGGAGAUCGGGUCUCAGGUCUCAGGUUAUCUGAUCAUUCGAAGUUCUGGCGCUAGAAGGUUUGCUGAGCAAGGGGAAAUACGUUGCAAGACAAGGCUCCUCAGAAUCGUCGUGGAUCGCGUUUGUGUACAUGCCUUGACCCUUCCUGAGCUUCUCUGACCCAUGGCAUUCGGGUCAGAUCUGGCAAACAGAGAUCUGGAGAAGAGGUCUUUUUAAAAUGCAGCAAGAAAGACUGAGGCUAGACCCAAGGAAGAACAGCAAAACCACCUGAGCCUGGAGACCCAGGAAGUGAUCGUCGAGGCCUCUCCUUCUCUGGCAGCCUCUAGGACUAGGAUUCAAAGUCGUCAUGAGGGGAGCUCAGGGGUGGCCUGGCACCGAGGUGGAAGCAGGAACUCAAGGAUUUUGGCCCUGUGGAUUCAGGAAGGAGUCGUCAUGGGUUGCCUUAAGUGGCAUUCCUUUCCCAAGCCAGAGUGGGGUCGAGUCAGUAAGUCCACAUAAGAAACUGCCAAGAUGUGGGCGCAUGUGGAGCAAAGUCAGAAUCUCCGUCUCCAGCCACACACGUGUCGCACACCUUUUCCUCUUCUGUCCUGAGUUUGCAAUCUUUUCUAAUUUCCUUCACCCUUUGAAGCCUCCCUUUACCCUUAUGGAAAACACAGACGGAGCAUCUUUCUUUCUGGGCUUUUCAUGUUGAUAAAGAAAAAGACUUGCCUGGGCCACAGAGGUGAUCACAAAGCGCAUGUUUCCAGCAAGUCUGGGGAAGAGGAAGAGGCAGCUUCUGGUGGCCAGGCAUGGCAAGGCUGCACGGGAGUGAACUACUGUCCCUCCAUUGCCCCUGUGCUCCCUAACCGGGCGCCUCCGGGUUCCUUCCUGCAAGGGCAGGCUAUAAAAUGUGCUAAGAGACCUCCUUGGAGAGGGUGUGGCGGUGGUGAUGAGGCGUGGGGAAGGUUCUGUGGGUUCUGUGCCAGCUAACUGGCCGUGGGACCUUGGGCAAGUCAUUUCACUCCCUCUGGUCUCUGUUUCUCCUUUGGCCAAAAGGGGUUAAUCUUGAUUACCCUGCUUGCCGCAUGGGGAAAUCAUGAGGAC